GACGAACGCUGGCGGCGUGCUUAACACAUGCAAGUCGAACGGUAAGGCCCUUCGGGGUACACGAGUGGCGAACGGGUGAGUAACACGUGGGUGAUCUGCCCUGCACCUCGGGAUAAGCCUGGGAAACUGGGUCUAAUACCGGAUAGGACUCCUGCCUGCAUGGGUGGGGGUGGAAAGCUUUUGCGGUGUGGGAUGGGCCCGCGGCCUAUCAGCUUGUUGGUGGGGUGAUGGCCUACCAAGGCGACGACGGGUAGCCGGCCUGAGAGGGUGACCGGCCACGCUGGGACUGGGAUACGGCCCAGACUCCUACGGGAUGCAGCAGUGGGGAAUAUUGCACAAUGGGCGCAAGCCUGAUGCAGCGACGCCGCGUGAGGGAUGACGGCCUUCGGGUUGUAAACCUCUUUCAGCACAGACGAAGCGCAAGUGACGGUAUGUGCAGAAGAAGGACCGGCCAACUACGUGCCAGCAGCCGCGGUAA
rnacentral:rRNA from 1 species